GGCGGUCCCAUGAAACAGUAAAUUCACCCAGCUUAUUUCACAAGAAUCAUGUGGUGACGAAGAAAGCAGGAACUUUGAGGUUGGUGACUGAGACAGUCGACUAGUAAAGGCAGAGACUUCAACAAGCAAGAAUGUAUGAUUGAUUCAUUGAAAGAGAAAAAAGAAAAUUCCUAGUAAACGCGGUAGUGAGUAUGUUUUUAGGUAAAUUAUGUGACACUCACGUAUUCUUUGGCGAGUGGUAACACAAACAUCCCCCGGAAGACUCCAGCUCCAAAGGAUAGGGACAGAGGGAGGUCCCAUCUCAGAGGGAGAAUCUUGAGAGAGCGAGAGAGGGUUGCUACAGCUCUGGUUCAUUGCGGUGCUCGAUCUGGGGGUAUAUGAUACCCAUUUUUUCUCCCAAGCUACGUAUGUGUGAUCAGAGAGUGUACUAGAGUUCAAUGGGGAUCUUAUGAAGAGUUUGAAUUCGGUGGGAGAAUCCAGCAGAUUUUGUACUUCAAUUUAAAGAUGUAAUUUCAAUCCCAAGAUUUUUAUGUCCUUUUGUUCUGCAGUACUCAAUUACCAAUGGGAAAGGAAAACUUGUUGCAUACAGUAAAGGAUGGCAUCAGCAACGAGGAUUGCUUACGUAUUGAGAGUGAAGAAUCAGGGACUCACGCACGCCAUAGUCUAGACAAGGAGGCAGGCUUGCCAUGUUGUCGUGUCUGCCAAUGUGCUGAACCUGACACAAGGGGAGAUAGUGUAUUAAGUUUGUUGGGAAUCACUCCUCCAUUACAAGAAGCAAGUAAAAGCUAUGGGGAGGCGCAGCCUAAUAGAAACGAAGUUCUGAAAGAUGUUGAAAAUAACUUUUCUCUCAAAAAGAACAUUGGAAGAGAAGCUGGGCUUGCGAAGUUUAUUAGUCCCGAUGGGGAGGUUUUCAUUUGUAGUACAGAUUUGGAGAUGGGACCAGGUCACCAUCAAGACACAUUGGUAGAGCUUGGUUGUUCUUGCAAAAAUGACCUUGCUUUAGUACACUAUGCCUGUGCUCUAAAAUGGUUUGUUAACCAUGGAUCCACUGUUUGUGAAAUUUGUGGACAUGUUGCAAACAAUAUUAGAACUGCUGACUUCAGAAAGGUUGUUGGUUCUUUAAAGGAAUUUGGAUCAUUGAGAGAAAGGACUGCUAGUGGAGAACCAAUUCCUGCACUGCUGCCUACAAAUCAAGGUGCAGAUCCUGAUGCCGUGGCUGCCAUCCGAAGGCUGCGGCUUAGUGAGAUUUCAAUGUGGUUUAAUCCGCAUAAUAAUAAUAACUAUAACAAUUCUGCUGCAGUUUCACAGGUUGUUUCUGAACAACCUUUGAAUACUGUCUCAGAAGAUGUUGUCCCUGAUGAAAAUCCUGCAACCAAGUGGGCUGUGGAAGGUACUGGAAUUCUGCUUGCUACAGGACUUCUUACUGUUACUCUUGCAUGGCUUAUCGCCCCUCGUGUUGGGAAGAAAACUGCCAGAAGCGGCCUUCAUAUUCUCCUAGGAGGCAUUUGUGCCCUAACAGUUGUGGUUUUCUUUCGCUUUGUAAAAACCUCAAGGUUUCAAAGCCCUUUUUAUUUGCCUUAUGUUCCCGCUGAACCUGCAAUGCUGUUCAAAUUAUCAGCUUCCUAUAUUCUAGCUGUCUUAACACAUUUUUUGAGGGAAUGGUGCAAAUGGGAAAGAACUCAGAACUUUAUCUGGAGGAAGAAAGUAGAAGUUUCUAAGAUAAGAUGAUGGAGAAAGAAGAGGGAAGGUACCAGGGUAGGGCGCUCUGUAAGUUAAAAAAAAAGUUUGUGCUUACCAGAAUCAAGUAUGGACCGGCACGCUACUGGGCAAUCCUGUUUGUCUUCUGGUUUCUUGUCUUUGGUAUAUGGGCUUCACGCACCCAUGGCGCUCAUGCGACGUGAUUAUGUCAGCAUAAUAUUUAUU